GAUGAACGCUGGCGGCGUGCUUAGCACAUGCAAGUCGAACGGUGAAGGCGGAGCUUGCUCUGCUGGAUCAGUGGCGAACGGGUGAGUAACACGUGAGCAAUCUGCCCCUGACUCUGGGAUAAGCGCUGGAAACGGCGUCUAAUACUGGAUACGAGCUGCGAAGGCAUCUUCAGCAGCUGGAAAGAAUUUCGGUCAGGGAUGAGCUCGCGGCCUAUCAGCUUGUUGGUGAGGUAAUGGCUCACCAAGGCGUCGACGGGUAGCCGGCCUGGGAGGGUGACCGGCCACACUGGGACUGAGACACGGCCCAGACUCCUACGGGAGGCAGCAGUGGGGAAUAUUGCACAAUGGGCGAAAGCCUGAUGCAGCAACGCCGCGUGAGGGACGACGGCCUUCGGGUUGUAAACCUCUUUUAGCAGGGAAGAAGCGAAAGUGACGGUACCUGCAGAAAAAGCGCCGGCUAACUACGUG
rnacentral:rRNA from 1 species